rnacentral:lncRNA from 1 species
GCGUUUUUCAUCUAUGUAACCGAUUACCCUUUUUAGAGUAAUCGAUUACCACUGUUUCUUCCAAUUUUUUUUUAAAUUUUUUAACACAUGUGAGUUUUUGUCAUAAAGAGUACUUUUGGUCUUAAGUGUUUUUUCUUGUUUUUUUUGCUUAAGUCAAUCACUUCAGCAUUGGUACUCUAUCUGUCUCUCUUUCCAACCUUCACAGUCAUCUCACUCUUCCAUCUUCCUUCUCCUCCAUUAACUCUAUUAACUCCAUUCAAAGCAAAAU